GAACUCACUCCAGCGCCAAAGAGAGCCGGCUCGGGAAUGACGACUUUUUACGCAACUGCACGGAAGCUGAAGUCUGCAGGACAGGUCUACUGAUUGGACAAUUAUUACAGUGGACCUGUCAAGCAGCUUAUUAGACGUGACGAUAUAGCACAUGGAACUCAAGAGCCCUCGGUGGAUUCCCAAGAAGUGGGUCAACCUUUUGUUCCAAAAAAUCCAGCUCCAGCAGAAGGGGAUGAGAAGCAAGUAGCCAUUGCUUCAAAAAGAAGACGCCGAUGGAAGGAGGAGAAGAAAUCUUCAUGGAAGACUACAUUCCGGCAGACAGAGACUUUUAACAUGUUUUAAAAAUGUUUGUUUUUCCUUUUAGAGAAGA